rnacentral:rRNA from 1 species
CCCUCAGUAACGGCGAGUGAAGCGGGACGCAGCCCAGCACUGAAUCCCCUCGGCUUUGAUAGCCUUGGGGAGCUGUAGUGUUCGGGUCCCUUGCGUUCGAUCGUCGCGCACGCACUGCUUAAGUCGCAUCGAAGGGGCGUCCCAAAGCGGGUGGCAGGCCCUUGUGGUUGCGUGCGCGCGUCGUGUGCAGGGGACUCUAGAGUCGGGAUGUUUGAGAGUGCAUCCUAAAGUCGGUGGUAAGCGCCAUCGAAGGCUAAAUAUGUCCACGAGUCCGAUAGAAUACAAGUACCGUGAGGGAACGUUGAAAAAGGACUUCUAAAUGAGGGUUAAAAGUACGUGAAACUGCCUAGAGUGAAGCGAGUGGCACCACCUAAGCGACCGUCGGUGCACACCCUACGUGGAAGCGCCGCAGCGUGGGUCUUCCAGUGAUCGAGCUUUAUGCUGCGUGUCGCGGUCGAUCCUGCUGUGCGCACCCGCAGGUGUUAUGCCCGCUUGGUCGGACGUCACGAUCGCCAGCUGGCUUGUCUCCGCCGUUUACGCUCGACACGACAGGUAGGACGCGUCCGACGCAAGUCGGCACAUUCUCCUGUUCCGUGUGGCGUCAUUUCGUCGAAUAAGCUAGAUCGAGCGUGUACAUGAUCGACUACCCCGUGUCGCGAGGCUUCCUGUGCUUUAGAUCGGCAGGUGUUGUAGACUGCUCGCGCAAGCGGGCGGACGGCGAACUUGCUGUGGCUAGCGCGGGUUGAGCCUCCGCGUGCGGAAGUGGAUCGGUGGCGGUAACGUGGCAAG